CCUAGUAACGGCGAGUGAACCGGGAAGAGCUCAAAUUUGAAAUCUGGCGUCCUCAGGGCGUCCGAGUUGUAAUCUAUAGAGGCGUUUUCCGUGCCGGACCGUGUCCAAGUUCCUUGGAACAGGAUAUCAAAGAGGGUGACAAUCCCGUACUUGACACGACGACCGGUGCUCUGUGAUACGUCUUCUACGAGUCGAGUUGUUUGGGAAUGCAGCUCAAAAUGGGUGGUGAGUUCCAUCUAAAGCUAAAUAUUGGCGAGAGACCGAUAGCGAACAAGUACCGUGAGGGAAAGAUGAAAAGCACUUUGGAAAGAGAGUUAAACAGUACGUGAAAUUGUUGAAAGGGAAACGAUUGAAGUCAGUCGUGACCGAGAGGCUCAGCCGGUUCUGCCGGUGUAUUCCCCUCGGUCGGGUCAACAUCAGUUUUGUCCGGUGGAUAAGGGCGGUAGGAAGGUGGCACCCUCGGGUGUGUUAUAGCCUGCCGUCGCAUACAUCGGGUGAGACUGAGGAACGCAGCUCGCCUUUAUGGCCGGGGUUCGCCCACGUCCGAGCUUAGGAUGUUGACAUAAUGGCUUUAAACGACCCGUCUUG
rnacentral:rRNA from 1 species